UACGAAGGGGGCUAGCGUUGUUCGGAAUUACUGGGCGUAAAGCGCGUGUAGGCGGGUCUUUAAGUCAGGGGUGAAAUGCCAAGGCUCAACCUUGGAACUGCCUUUGAUACUGGAGAUCUUGAGUCCGGGAGAGGUGAGUGGAACUGCGAGUGUAGAGGUGAAAUUCGUAGAUAUUCGCAAGAACACCAGUGGCGAAGGCGGCUCACUGGCCCGGAACUGGACGCUGAGACGCGAAAGCGUGGGGAGCAAACAGG
rnacentral:rRNA from 1 species